rfam:Aedes albopictus isolate Foshan contig65788, whole genome shotgun sequence.
CUCCAGUUAGCCUAAUGGUAAGGCUUUAGAUCGCCAAUCCGGAGACGGCGGGUUCGAUUCUCGCUCUGGUCG